GUAAUUAUAGGAAGAAAUUAUAGGAAGAAAAGAAUUAUGGCCACUGAUGCUGUGAGUAUUUGUGCAGUAUGUGCCAGCCUGAGUGGAAACUAUGAGAAUAAUAUAUACCAAGUGCCAGGUCUAGACAACAGAUACCAAGAUUGACUUUUGCUAUUACAAGUUGCAUUUCUCCAAAGAAAUCUGCUUUUAUAUGUUCUACUCAAUAGCUGGAGAACAUAGCAGCCAUUCAUCCCUGUGCAUGGUCAGCACAUUUAUUACUUAUGACAGCAUCUUUCAAGCCCUUUGGGAAGAUCAUCACAGGACCAGGAUGAUGUCUCAGAGGAAGAAACACUUGCUCUGCAAGCCCAACUACUGGAGUUCUAAUCUCUUUAACUCAGAUGAGGUAGUUCAUACCCACAAUCCCAGAAUUCCUACUGGCAAAUAUAAGGAGACAGGAGAAUCACCCAGAAAUUGGCGGCAGCUAGAUUUCUUUGUGGUGAAGCUUCAGAAACAAAAAGAGAUUAUUCCUCAACCAAGAUAGUGAGAAUCAAAUCCUCAUAGUUUUCAUAUGAACUCCACACUUGCACACAUAUGGGUUAAAAACUAUUAUAAGGGUUGAUUAAUAAUGAUAUGUAUUAAAAUAAUAUACCAUUCUGUCUUAAGUGCAUUACUUUGUCUGAACACUGUAGAUAGUGUAAGCUGGUGACACACACACACACACACACACACACACACACACACACACACACACACACACACGGGUGUUUGUAUCUUUGGUUUCAUGUUAAGCCUAGGUAGUUUGAAGAGCAAUUUUUCCUUGUGUGUUUCAGAAUCUCUUGCAAUCUCAACAUAAACUAGUAUUAUAUUUGCUAAU
rnacentral:lncRNA from 1 species